rnacentral:rRNA from 1 species
UACGGAGGGAGCUAGCGUUGUUCGGAAUUACUGGGCGUAAAGCGCGCGUAGGCGGCUUUGUAAGUUAGAGGUGAAAGCCCGGAGCUCAACUCCGGAAUUGCCUUUAAGACUGCAUCGCUUGAAUCCGGGAGAGGUGAGUGGAAUUCCGAGUGUAGAGGUGAAAUUCGUAGAUAUUCGGAAGAACACCAGUGGCGAAGGCGGCUCACUGGACCGGUAUUGACGCUGAGGUGCGAAAGCGUGGGGAGCAAACAGG